CACUAAUAGUGAUGUAAGUUACUUCUAUUCACGUUCCUUUAUUCAAAGAGGAGAUGGGGGAAGGAGUGCAACCUUAUCAUGUUCCCAGAAAGAAAACAAGAAAUACUUUGUAUGAUCAUCAUAGUCCAAUAGACUGGAUGUUUGUGUCCUCCCAAAAUUCGUAUGUUGAAAUCUUAAUCCAUUGUGUGAUGGUAUUAGGAAGUGAGGACUUUGGGAGGUGAUUAGGCAGUCCUGAAUUACAAAUUUAGCAUCUCUUACGAAAGCUGACAUGAGAAGUGAAAGUAAGUCCAUUAGACUACAAAUCUGUCUCCUGCACUCCUAAUAAAACCCUUUAGUGGAGAACACUUCUAAAGACAGCAAUACUCUGAGUGGAGUUUGUGCCCUUAAAAAAGAGAUCCAAGAGCUCCCUCACCCCUUCCACCAGGUGAAGACAAAGAAAGAAGACAGGACAUUUGUGAACGAAGAAGCAGGCCCUCACCAGACACCAGAUCUGCCAGUGCCUGGAUCUUGAAUAUGCUGAUGCCUUGAUCUUGGAUUUCCUAUUCUCCAGAGUUGGCAUUGACGUGAAAAGAGUGGAAACAUCAAAAGGAAAACGGACAACUUUCAUGAACAAAGUAGAAUUCCUUGGAAAUGUGGAGCAGGUUGACAUUAUGUGGGUCAGUUCAGAAAGAAGGAGGAUCCUUCUUUAAAAGAUUUCUGGGGAUUGGGCACCAAGAUGGCCGAAUAGGAGCAGCUCCAGCAUCCAGCUCCCAGUGUGAGUGACAGAGAAGACGGGUGAUUUCUGCAUUUCCAACUGAGGUACCAGGUUCAUCUCAAUGGGGUGUGUCCAACAGUCAGUGCAGGACAGUGGGUGCAGCCCAGUGAACGAGAGCUGAAGCAGGGCGAGGCAUUGCCUCA